rnacentral:rRNA from 1 species
GACGAACGCUGGCGGCGUGCUUAACACAUGCAAGUCGAACGAUGAAGCCGGAGCUUGCUCUGGUGAAUUAGUGGCGAACGGGUGAGUAACACGUGAGUAACCUGCCCUUGACUCUGGGAUAACUGCUAGAAAUGGUAGCUAAUACCGGAUACGACCCUCGGAGGCAUCUCCAGGGGGUGGAAAGAAGUUCGGGCAAGGAUGGACUCGCGGCCUAUCAGCUAGUGGGUGGGGUAACGGAUCACCAAGGCGACGACGGGUAGCCGGCCUGAGAGGGUGACCGGCCACACUGGGACUGAGACACGGCCCAGACUCCUACGGGAGGCAGCAGUGGGGAAUAUUGCACAAUGGGCGCAAGCCUGAUGCAGCAACGCCGCGUGAGGGAUGACGGCCUUCGGGUUGUAAACCUCUUUUAGUAGGGAAGAAGCGAAAGUGACGGUACCUGCAGAAAAAGCACCGGCUAACUACGUGCCAGCCGCCGCCGUAA